AACCAAAAAGAAUCCAAAUGUUCAUCAACUGGGAGUGAAUAAGCAAAUUGCACAACUAUAUAUAGAAUUCUACUCACUAAUAAGAAGGCAAGAACUACUGGUAGAUGCAAUAAUGUGGAUACAGCCUGGCUGAGGAUGCUUGGAGUUACAUCAAAAGAGAAUGAGAGCAGCAGCAGCUGUGGGGAACACUUCCUGUGCGUGCUGAAAGCCCUCCCACGGUGAGAAGCUGCCCUGUCCCUGCUUUCCUGCCUCAGGGCUUCCUCUGAAGCCUGAAGAGCUCCCUCAGCCCAGGCCAGGUGACAUUCAAGCAUUAAUCAGACCAACCCUUUGUGAGCAGCUGCUGGAGAAGUCAGAUCCCAUGCUCCAUGCUCAUAGAAGUACUCACUAAAGGCAGUGUGGCACUGGACUGGAAGCCAGGCUUUCUUAUCUCAGUGCUGCAAGAAUUUAGUAUUACAUGCACAGAGAAGCCUGGAAAUGAGAAAUUUAAUGCACAGAGGCAAAUUUCAACAAUAUGAGAAAGGAACUAGCAGAUAAAUACUCCAGCUUCCAAUCAAAAAAAGGGAAGAU